AUACAGGGCUCUUUUGGGUCUUGUAAUUGAAUGAGGCAAUUUAAAUCCCUUAACGAGGAACAAUGGAAGGGCAAGUCUGGUGCCACCACCCGCGGUAAUUCCAGCUCCAAUAGCGUAUAUUAAAGUUGUUGUGGUUAAAAAGCUCGUAGUUGAACCUUGGGCCUGGCUGGCCGGUCCGCCUCCCCGCGUGUACUGGUCCGGCCGGGCCUUUCCCUUCUGUGGAACCCCAUGCCCUUCACUGGGUGUGGCGGGGAAACAGGACUUUUACUGUGAAAAAAUUAGAGUGCUCCAGGCAGGCCUAUGCUCGAAUACAUUAGCAUGGAAUAAUAGAAUAGGACGUGUGGUUCUAUUUUGUUGGUUUCUAGGACCGCCGUAAUGAUUAAUAGGGACAGUCGGGGGCAUCAGUAUUCAAUUGUCAGAGGUGAAAUUCUUGGAUUUAUUGAAGACUAACUACUGCGAAAGCAUUUGCCAAGGAUGUUUUCAUUAAUCAGGAACGAAAGUUAGGGNAUCGAAGACGAUCAGAUACCGUCAUAGUCUUAACCAUAAACUAUGCCGACUAGGGAUCGGACGGUGUUAUUUUUUGACCCGUUCGGCACCUUACGAGAAAUCAAAGUGCUUGGGCUCCAGGGGGAGUAUGGUCGCAAGGCUGAAACUUAAAGAAAUUGACGGAAGGGCACCACCAGGGGUGGAGCCUGCGGCUUAAUUUGACUCAACACGGGGAAACUCACCAGGUCCAGACACAAUGAGGAUUGACAGAUUGAGAGCUCUUUCUUGAUUUUGUGGGUGGUGGUGCAUGGCCGUUCUUAGUUGGUGGAGUGAUUUGUCUGCUUAAUUGCGAUAACGAACGAGACCU
rnacentral:rRNA from 1 species